GGUAUUGAAAUAAGAUUUUAAAUGAGUGCUAAGAGAAUGAUUAAACAAUUAAAAACUUUCUUUAAUUAAAUAAUUAAAUUUAAUUUUUUUUGUGCAAAAGCAAAAAUAAAAUUUAGGGACAAGAAGACCCUAUGAAUUUUUAUUAUUAAUAUUUUGCAAUUAAAUUAUUAAUAAUUUAAUUGGGGCGAUAAAAAAAGAAUAAGUAUCUUUUUAAUUAUUAAAUAAGUUCCGUUUUUAGCGAUUAAAUGAAAAAAAUACUCUAGGGAUAACAGCGUAAUAAUUUUGGAUAGUUCAUAUAGAUAAAAUAGUUUGCGACCUCGAUGUUGGAUUAGGAUUCUUUUUUGGUGUAGAA
rnacentral:rRNA from 1 species